UUAUCUAACGUAGUUUUAUUAGGGUUAAUUCUCUUGUUUUUGUACAUAAUAAAAAAUAAAUGUUCUUAUUAGUCAUCAAUAUGUAUUUCAAUAUCAUCGAGAGAUUUUGAGAAGAAAAAAAGAAAAUGGUUGUCAUCACUUUCACAGCUAAUGCCCCUUUAAAAUAAGAUGUAAGUGCACAGGUAUCUGAAUUUUAACCUAAUUAGAAAAAAAAAAGUGAAGAAAAAAUAUCUAUAUCUAAAUAAAUGGAUAGAGAGAGAGAGAGAGAGAGAGAGAGAGAGAGAGAGAGAGAGAGAGAGAGAGAGAGAGAUUUCUUUUCUUUAUUUACAUGUAUAUCUGUUGAUUACAGUUCAGAUACUGGGUUUGUGAGUUGAAAUUAAUCAAAUGAGAGUGGUAAAAAUCCACCUUUAUAUCGUAUAAUUUACAUAUCAGGAUUUUAUCCAGGUACGUUAUUCUGGUUUGUGGAAUGCUAAUUGAUACUAAGUUAGAAUAAUCUAAGCUGUAUACCAAAGUAGGUCUUCAUGGGGCUUUACGGCUCUAUGCAUCGCAAAUAGAGAUCGGGUUCAAUGCGUCGGCUGUGAGAUUCACUCAAUAUUAUAUGAUGAGCGCGAAAGUUGAUAUCAACAGACGCCAUGAUGUGAUACCGGUAAACAUCUUGAAUAUGAAUCGAAAACAGGAGUUGAUGCAGAUAUUCUGAGGAGAAUCUUCCAAUCAUUGAAAUAUAUUUCAUGAUAGUCAUGAAGAUACAGAAGUUGUGAUGGUGUGUUGAUAGGCUGUCUUCAACUUGCCAUAUCUGAGAGUUCCAACAUGCAGGCCUGGAUUAAUGUGUAUAAAUCACUAAUGAAGUUACUUAGUGUUAUUUAGUUUUUAAAAAAGAAUGACAUUUCAAUUUAUACACACUUGCCAAGUGAAUCUGAUGAGACUGCUACAUGUAUUUGUGAAUAAAGGCACUGUCUUAACCGAAAAACUAUUUACAGUUUAUCACAACAAAUGGAUGGGACAGUAGAGUUGUUGCGGACAAUAUGUGAUUGUGAUGAACAAGUGGAAGAUUAGAAGGUCCAGAAUUCAAUCAUGUUUUUGAUUCUAAGGCGCAGACAUCAUGGAGAUAGUCCUAUUAUUCUCCCAUUCAUCUAUGAUGGAGAAACUUGUGUAAAUGUUUACAGUGUUCCCCCUAAUAAGUGCCCACAAGUCUGUAUUAAUUUAUCAGAAUAUAAAGUCCUUCACAGUACUGACUUUAAAAUUCAUGUAGAUUGUCUCCAGAUUUUUCUGAGGAAAAGUGCAUAGUUUACGUGUGUGAAUUUUGAAUAAAUUUCAUUCUUGUCUGCAAAUGUUGCCGAAACCUGUUAUUGAUGCACAAUGCACAUAGUCAUGUUAUGCAAAUGAUAGACCUCCUUUUUAAUUACAUGUCCUUAAGAUCAUGUCAACUCCUUGUCUUAAUUGUAUAUACAAUUCUAGCAUUUAUAGCAUCAUUUGUAUAGCACUUGCUAGUUUAAUAAGGAUUUUAUUUUUUAGAAACUUUCAUUUGACAUGAUUGAUCUAAAACGGCCAAAAUUCACAAAUCUAUUUAAAUCAUAACCUGACCUUAGGCCAGAAAAGUGCCACAGUGGGUUGAUAUUUUUCUCUUGGAUCUUGAAAGAAAUUCUUUAUGCAGCAGUUUCCAAAUAAAAUGUACUCUCAUGGCCAGGGUGGGACUUCACCGAGAACUUUUUAACAUUGCACAAUGCAAUAUUUGUGAAUUAGAAGCUGUUGCAGUUUCUUUAAGUUUUCUCUCACAUCUUGUUAUAAUUAUAUUUUUGGUCGGGUUGCACAAAUGUGCAAACAGUUUAUAUACUGGUGAAUGACUGGUGGACAAGCGACAGUAGCGUCCCUGUAAUAGUACCUACUUUGUGUAAUCAACUCCUUUCACACCUCUCACUUGAUGUUCCUCAAACUUUGUACAGCGUCCCAAUCGACAGUACCUAUUUUGUGUAAUCAACUCCUCAUAUACUAGCAACCACCACCCAUUUUUUUUUAAAAAUUACCCCAAACAAUAAAAAUCAGAUGUAAUUACCA